CAAAACUCAACUGGGUCCACUUGGUGUAGAUCUUUAAGCCUUAGCAGAGGAAUGUGAUCAAAUUCUAAUAUUUGCAUAAACCCAUUCAUCUGAAAGGGUAUUCCGGACCCGAAGCUAUCCAUUCCUUCGCAUUCUUUUUAUGUCACUUUCCUUUUGCACAACAAAAUAAAAUUAAAUAGAAAUUGUAAAUUUAAAACUGCGUGGCGGCGAC
rnacentral:lncRNA from 1 species